rnacentral:misc_RNA from 1 species
GCGACGAUGUGAGGAAGGAUCAGCACCACGCCCGUGGCGAUCGCAGCGUAAAAACCGGGACGCUUCAACACCUGCCGGCAGGCUGGCAAAAGCAGAAUGCUGCUCGCCAUUCCGAAGAACAGAACCACAGCAUUGUAUUUUGUUAGCACGGCCACGGCCGACCAGAAGCCGAACGCAAUCCAGUCACGCAUGCGAUUGGAUUGGACCGCGCGAAGAAAGUGAAAGACAACAGCGGGCCACGAUGUGAGCUGAAGG